UGGGGAAUCUUGCACAAUGGGGGCAACCCUGAUGCAGCGACGCCGCGUGAGCGAUGAAGCCCUUCGGGUCGUAAAGCUCUUUCGACCGGAACGAUAAUGACGGUACCGGGAGAAGAAGCUGCGGCUAACUACGUGCCAGCAGCCGCGGUAAUACGUAGGCAGCAAGCGUUGUUCGGAGUUACUGGGCGUAAAGAGUGCGUAGGCGGUUUUCUAAGUUCGGUGUGAAAUCUCCCGGCUUAACUGGGAGGGUGCGCCGAAGACUGGGAGGCUGGAGUGUGGGAAAGGCGGGCGGAAUUCCUGGUGUAGCGGUGAAAUGCGUAGAUAUCAGGAGGAACACCGGCGGUGUAGACGGCUUGCUAGACCAUAACUGACGCUGAGGCACGAAAGCGUGGGUAGCAAACA
rnacentral:rRNA from 1 species